UACAGAGGAGCCAAGCGUUGUCCGGAUUGACUGGGCGUAAAGCGCACGCAGGCGGAUGCGCGCGUGGGGUGUGAAAUCUGGCCGCUUAACGGCCAGGCGCCAUCCCAUACGGCGCGUCUGGAGUGAUGCAGAGGUCGAUGGAAUUGCCGGUGUAGUGGUGAAAUGCGUAGAGAUCGGCAGGAACACCCAGGGGGGAACCAGUCGACUGGGCAUCUACUGACGCUGAGGUGCGAGAGCGUGGGGAGCGAACCGG
rnacentral:rRNA from 1 species